GGCCAGAUAGCUCAGUUGGUAGAGCAACGGACUGAAAAUCCGUGUGUCGUUGGUUCGAUUCCGACUCUGGCCA
rnacentral:tRNA from 2 species